GAUUUAUAGAGUUGUGAGAGUGAGAUUAGAAGCUUGUUAGGAAGAAAAUUCUGUUAUUUUUGUGAGUUUAUGCAGGUUGUUAUUCUGUUAUUUGAUGCUUGGAUUUUGCGUUUUGCUUUGCGGUUUACCGGCUUGGAAUUGUGGCUAUAGUUUGGCUCGGCUGUUUGGCGUUUUGGACUCACUUUUAUGCAGGUUGUUAUUCUGUUAUUUGAUGCUUGGAUUUUGCGUUUUGCUUUGCGGUUUACCGGCUUGGAAUUGUGGCUAUAGUUUGGCUCGGCUGUUUGGCGUUUUGGACUCACUUUUAUGCAGGUUUUUGGUGGUAUUUAAAUGCAGAAUUUUGGUUUUGGAAUGCAGAAUUUUUGCUGUAUUUUAUGCAGAGUUUUGGUGUGUUGCUGCAGAAUUUUUGCUGUAUUUUAUGCAGAGUUUUUGUGUGUUUUAUGCAGAGUUUUUAUGCAGAA